GCCAGGUGCAGUGGUGCAUACCUGUAGUCCCAGAGGCUGAGGCAGGAGGUUCACUUGAGUCCAGGCAUUAGUUCUAGGCUGUGGUGCGCUAUGCCACUCGGGUGUCUGCACUAAGCUCAGCAUCAAUACAGUGACCUCCUGGGAGUGGGGGACCACCAGGUUGCCUAAGGAGGGCUGAGCUGGCCCAGGUCAGAAACAGAGCAGGUCAAAACUCCUGUGCUGAUCAGGAAUGGGAUCGUGCCUGUGAAUAGCCACUGCACUCUGGCCUGGGCAAUGUAGCCAGACCCCGUUUCU
rnacentral:SRP_RNA from 1 species